UAGAGAGCCUUGAGGAUAUCCUCUGCGCUGGAAACCGUGAACUCGCCACCAGAUUCGACAUUAGCUACAGUCACCUUAAGGUUAUCGAGCAACAAAGCGAAUCUCCUUGACCUAAUACCAAGACCCUUGUCCUUAAGGUCAAGCUCAAGUCCAAGAAGAUGUGUGUAUUCUCCAGACCCAUCUGCUACAAACUUCACAUGCUUGUUCUCUGGGUAUGUUUUUCCCCAUGCCUUCAUCACAAAUGGAUCAUUCACUGCAACAACAGAUGCAAAUCACGGCCUAAGUCUACUAUACACAAACUCAAAGAGGCCAAAACAGAGCAAAGAUUAAAAAAAAAAAAACCAUAUUAAUUCAUACUUACCACUAAAGCAAAUGAUCUCAUCAAUACCCUUUGACUUCAGCUCCUCUGCUUUCCCAAUGAAUCCAGGUACAUGGCUCAUACUAUCCUCACAAAAACCAAAAACAGAAUUCUCAAAUCAAAAUCUAAGGAUCCAUCACCUUAGAAUCAAAACCCACUUCAGUUUGAAACUUUUCUUACCUGCAAGUGGGAGUGAAAGCACCAGGAACACCAAAGAGAAUGACUUUUUUACCGGCGGCGAUAGAGUGAACGGAGACAGUUUGAAGCUGAUCAUUUUCAUCGAAGAAAGAGAUAGUUCCGUUUGGUACAACAUCGCCGACAGUAAUUGGAGCCAUGAAGAGAUCUCUGUGGUUUUGAUGAAGACAGGGGAAAAUAGAAGAGUUUUGUUUGACUUGAGAGGGAAAAUGAAUUUAGGUCUUAGGACAAUUUAUAGUGUUUUACGGAAUGAAGUAAAUUAUUAAUAGAUUUCUAAAUUUAGUUUGACCAUAAAAAUAUAAUGGAUUUUCUAAAAUUAUAAUUUAAGAAAAAAAUGUAGAAGUAAAAUUAGAACUAAUAUCCAAAAAUAAACUUUGUUUUCCAAAAAUACAACAAUCUUUUUUAGGAAACCCUCACUAAUAAACUCAUAUGCAAGAACAUGUAAAUAUAUUUUAGAAAACAUUGUAUGACAAUUAAAAUUGAGUUUUUUUUUUUUUUAUAACUUUUUAAAGCAAUUUCAAAAAGAGUAAUUACACUACAUACCGUAAGACUGAGAAGUAUUUAAGUCAAAUGAUCAGUGGCACGUUCGUAAAUAAGUGAUUCUUUGUAAACAUGACAAAAAAACAUAAAUACCCUAAAACUAAAUGCUUCGUUCCUUCUUCCUUCCUUUUUGUUUCUCUUUCCUUUUCUUAUUUUUUUUUCUUACUUUAUGAAAACCUCAAACAAAUGAUUCUUCUUAAUUGUGAAACUGAUUGCAUAUAAAAUUAUGAUAUUUUUAAUUCAUUAAAUUCGUCGUAAUUUUCUGAUCAGAAUGCACUCAAUAAACCUUACAAAAUUCUCGGUACAAAGACGUCAUAAAUUUGAUGUCGUUCAUGUUAUCGAUGGGCAUAUAUAAAAAAUGAUUUGGGAAUCCAUCAAACCGGCGAUGCUAUCAUUGACCAGUGAUGGAUAAACAUAUUUAUCUCCCAAUUCAUUCGUUGUCACCGUCUUCCACUUAUGUUGUCUCAUUAUACUCUCUUUUCCAUCCCACCAUCACCACCUCCUCCUCCACCGCUAACAUAUUCUCUGCUCACAUCACCAUCACCACCUUCUUCACUAAGAUACAAUCCACCACAUCCACCACAAUGUCCUAUAUAUAUAUUGAUGUAUCAUAUGUAAACAACAUUACUGAAAUAUUACGAUGUAAGAUAUAUAUCCAUGUAUGCGAUAAAAAAACAAGAUAUCACGAUACGUAAUUGCAUAGCAGAAUAUAUUAUCGAUACAUGCAUUUAAUAAGUGGUGGCCCUCUACAGAUUCCCUGUCGCAUCUGUCUCCUACGAAAUUAUCUCCCUUAUAUUUUGGAAGAUAUUUUCGUCCAGAAUUUGUUACUAUACCAUUUUCUCUCUUGUUUUGCAAAUAAUAAAACUUGUGUAUGUACUUGCAAAUUAUUUCUCAAAUAAUUAGCAUACAGCUAAUUGGCUCUUUCAAAAAUCCAUAUUAGAAAAAAGAAAUGCAAUGAUAUUCAAUGGAUGAGAAACAAACAUGAUAAAUGUAUAAUGUAUUGAAAAAUUAAUAUCAUUUCUUAAACAUGUGCACUGGGAAAAACUUCUCUUAGUCUCUCAAAUAUAUCAUUUUAAUAACUUUUUUUAUAAUUUCUUUUUUAUUUAAAAUUUUAACUAUAAAUAAAGUAUGUUUAGACAUGUGUCAAAUAGAUUUCUAUAAAUGUUCUCAAAAUCUCUCAAACGAAAAACUCACUUUAUUAUCUUACUUUUAUGGGUGAAAGACUUAGUGAGAGACUUCCACUAAACAUAGAGACACAAACUUAUCAAAGUUUGAUUAAGUGGCAAGACAAGCCCAUGUAUUAAAAAUGAUCCCAUUACCAACUAUUCUUACCAAAAACUAAGAUAACCUAACUUUUUGGUAUGUGUCUACCAUAGUCCAAAACAACAAUGGAAAGAUUUGGUAUGCAUCUUCACGUGAAUUACUCAUAUCUUUCAUAUAAAUCAACGCAAAGAAAAACACCAAAACCAAAUACUUUAUUAUUCCAACAAAGUCACAAUGACACCACUUUAUUAUGCCUGCUUGUUGUCUGAAAUCAGGCUAUAGAUAAUAGAAUCCUCUACUUCACAUACAGCGGUUUACAUACACAAUACAACAAACGAGUGGUAAGUUUCUUAGAGAGCCUUGAGGAUAUCAUCGGCGCUGGAAACCGUGAACUCGCCACCAGAUUCGACAUUGGCUACAGUCACCUUGAGGUUAUCAAGCAACAGAGCAAAUCUCCUUGACCUAACACCAAGACCCUUGUCCUUGAGGUCAAGCUCAAGUCCGAGAAGGUGUGUGUAUUCUCCAGACCCAUCAGCUACAAACUUCACAUGUUUGUUCUCUGGGUAUGUCUUUCCCCAUGCUUUCAUCACAAACGGAUCGUUCACUGCAACAAUCGAACCAAGUGAUAACGCGUCAAUAGUAUAAAACCAUUUGAAUCAGUCUACCAAACAUUUCACAUCGCCAAAUACAAAAACCAAUACGCUGCAUUUUUUUUUACAAUCUAUUACUAAGGACACCAACUACCAUUAGCCUUGAGCUUUGGUAUGUUUGACUAGCAAGCGAUCAGAUUUUAGAAGUAGACACAAACACAUAGAGGCAGAAAUCAGUACAGAUUAUACCGAAGAACAAACCUGACAUCAAACCAUAUACAAAUGUAUAGUUCACUGCAACAAUACUAUAAAACUAAGCAGCAUAUAUAACGUCUGCGAAAACAUUGCACAACAAGCAGACUCAGCCAAAUACAAUAACCAUUCUAACUGUAUAGUGUAUACUACACAAUUUAAAAUUAGGGACACCAACUACCAAAUGAAUCUAAUAAAUGGGCUACCGUGAGUCCAUAUACUCGGUAACCAGCCUCGGAAUCUCUAAAGACCCUUCAUUUACAAGGGCUAAGAACAUAUCAUAACCUAGAGCUAGAGGUUUCACAAACUCAUCACUGAGGUUAGAACAGAGCUGAGAUCAAAAACCUAUCAUUCAUACUCACCACUAAAGCAAAUGAUGUCAUCAACACCCUUUGAUUUAAGCUCCUCUGCUUUCUCAAUGAACCCAGGAACAUGCUUCAUGCUAACCUCACAAAAAACCAAAAACACAAUUCUCAAAUCAAAUCUACAGACUCAUCAGCUUAGCACCAAAACCCACAUCUUAUACAACUAAUUCGAUGGAUAAAUCUGAAGAAACUAAUUUGAAUCGAGAACAAGAAAAAAGAUCAAAACUUUGAAUGCAAAUUUGAGAAUUAAGUGAGAGAUGAUGAAAAAGGUUGAAACUUUGUACCUGCAAGUGGGAGUGAAAGCACCAGGAACACCAAAGAGAAUGACUUUUUUACCGGCGGCGAGAGAGUGAACGGAGGCGGUCUGAAGUUGAUCAUUCUCAUCGAAGAAGGAGAUUGUUCCGUCUGGUACAACAUCGCCGACGGUGAUUGGAGCCAUGAGGAGAGAUCUCUGUGGAUUUGAAGAAAGGGGAAAA
rnacentral:lncRNA from 1 species